AUGAACGCUGGCGGCGUGCCUAAUACAUGCAAGUCGAGCGAACAGACGAGGAGCUUGCUCCUCUGACGUUAGCGGCGGACGGGUGAGUAACACGUGGAUAACCUACCUAUAAGACUGGGAUAACUUCGGGAAACCGGAGCUAAUACCGGAUAAUAUAUUGAACCGCAUGGUUCAAUAGUGAAAGACGGUUUUGCUGUCACUUAUAGAUGGAUCCGCGCCGCAUUAGCUAGUUGGUAAGGUAACGGCUUACCAAGGCGACGAUGCGUAGCCGACCUGAGAGGGUGAUAGGCCACACUGGAACUGAGACACGGUCCAGACUCCUACGGGAGGCAGCAGUAGGGAAUCUUCCGCAAUGGGCGAAAGCCUGACGGAGCAACGCCGCGUGAGUGAUGAAGGUCUUCGGAUCGUAAAACUCUGUUAUUAGGGAAGAACAAAUGUGUAAGUAACUAUGCACGUCUUGACGGUACCUAAUCAGAAAGCCACGGCUAACUACGUG
rnacentral:rRNA from 1 species